GCUUACUUCGAUAGGACAUAUACUACAAUUGGAAUGGUACAGAGAAGAUUAGCAUGGCCCCUGAGCAAGGAUGACAUGCAAGUUCGUGAAGCAUUUCAUACUUAA